rnacentral:rRNA from 1 species
GGGCACUCUAAUGAGACUGCCGGUGACAAACCCGGAGGAAGGUGGGGAUGACGUCAAGUCCUCAUGGCCCUUAUAGGUGGGGCUACACACGUCAUACAAUGGAUGGUACAAAGGGUCGCCAACCCGCGAGGGGGAGCCAAUCCCAUAAAGCCAUUCGUAGUCCGGAUCGCAGUCUGCAACUCGACUGCGUGAAGUCGGAAUCGCUAGUAAUCGUGGAUCAGCAUGUCACGGUGAAUACGUUCCCGGGUCUU